AGUGAACGCUGGCGGUAGGCCUAACACAUGCAAGUCGAACGGCAGCACAGUAAGAGCUUGCUCUUACGGGUGGCGAGUGGCGGACGGGUGAGGAAUACAUCGGAAUCUACUUUUUCGUGGGGGAUAACGUAGGGAAACUUACGCUAAUACCGCAUACGACCUACGGGUGAAAGCAGGGGAUCUUCGGACCUUGCGCGAUUGAAUGAGCCGAUGUCGGAUUAGCUAGUUGGCGGGGUAAAGGCCCACCAAGGCGACGAUCCGUAGCUGGUCUGAGAGGAUGAUCAGCCACACUGGAACUGAGACACGGUCCAGACUCCUACGGGAGGCAGCAGUGGGGAAUAUUGGACAAUGGGCGCAAGCCUGAUCCAGCCAUACCGCGUGAGUGAAGAAGGCCUUCGGGUUGUAAAGCCCUUUUGUUGGGAAAGAAAAGCAGCAGGUUAAUACCCCGCUGUUCGGACGGUACCCAAAGAAUAAGCACCGGCUAACUUCGU
rnacentral:rRNA from 1 species